UUUCUGCAAAACUUUCCAUUUUGAGCGAGCUGCUUGGAGGUUGUUGUUCAUUUUGAAAAUGUUAAGUUAAAAAGACCUGAAGAAAAGAGAGCGCUGCAUGGAAUGCACCAGAAAUUGCUGACUUAUAUCCACAGUCUACAUCCGAGGCCUCCAGCAGUGACUGUUCGCUCAUUGGCAGACUUCACCUCCACAUAUCAUGAACCUGCAGAGGGUCAGAGGGGUCAAGUGGAACAAAUACCCCCACAGUGUGCCACCCUACGCAGUCCGAAGCUCUCAGCUCCCAAACCCGUGGAAAAAGCACCGACCUUUUCCCCCGUGCCGAUGUGCAGCCCCUCCAUCACUUUGGCGAACGAACCCUUGUUGAUCAUCUUCCCCACCAGGUA